rnacentral:rRNA from 1 species
GCAUAUCAAUAAGCGGAGGAAAAGAAACCAACAGGGAUUGCCUCAGUAACGGCGAGUGAAGCGGCAACAGCUCAAAUUUAAAAUCGUGCCCCUUCGGGAUACGAGUUGUAAUUUGCAGAGGAUGCUUCGGCUGCGGCCCCGGUCUAAGUUCCUUGGAACAGGACGUCGUAGAGGGUGAGAACCCCGUAUGCGGCUGGGCGCCAACGCCAUGUGAAGCUCCUUCGACGAGUCGAGUUGUUUGGGAAUGCAGCUCUAAAUGGGAGGUAUAUUUCUUCUAAGGCUAAAUACCGGCGAGAGACCGAUAGCGCACAAGUAGAGUGAUCGAAAGAUGAAAAGCACUUUGGAAAGAGAGUUAAAAAGUACGUGAAAUUGUUGAAAGGGAAGCGCUUGCAACCAGAUUUGGACGUAGUUGCUUAGCCGGGCUUCCUGCCCGGUGCACUCUUCUGCUUUCAGGCCAGCAUCGGUUUGGACGGCCAGAUAAAGACCGUGGGAAUGUAGCUCCUCCCGGGGAGUGUUAUAGCCCACGGUGGAAUGUGGCCAGUCUAGACCGAGGUCCGCGCUUCGGCUAGGAUGCUGGCGUAAUGGUUGUAAGCGGCCCGUCUUGAAACACGGACCAAGGAGUCUAACAUCUAUGCGAGUGUUUGGGUGCAAAACCCAUGCGCGUAAUGAAAGUGAACGGAGGUGGGAGCUCUCACGGGCGCACCAUCGACCGAUCCUGAUGUCUUCGGAUGGAUUUGAGUAAGAGCAUACCUGUUGGGACCCGAAAGAUGGUGAACUAUGCCUGAAUAGGGUGAAGCCAGAGGAAACUCUGGUGGAGGCUCGCAGCGGUUCUGACGUGCAAAUCGAUCGUCAAAUUUGGGCAUAGGGGCGAAAGACUAA